AGAUCACUGUACAUCACAGAUUUUUUGACAAUUAGCAACCUUGAAGUCAAUUUUGAAAGUGAAAUAUUGGGAAGAAAGCAUAAAGGAACCAAGUUCCUAAAAGGAUUGUAUGGCUCAGAAAAAAAAAAAAAAGAAAAAGAAAAACAAACAAUAAAAAUGACAAAGUUUAUAGGAAAGCAUUGACAUUUGAGGAUAUGAAACAACAACAAAAACAACCCACA
rnacentral:lncRNA from 1 species